rnacentral:tRNA from 1 species
GGGAGUGCAUGGUCACUGGCGUGGCCCACGGACUUCAAAUCCGCUGGCGGGCUCUAAUAAAGUCCGCGGUGAGUUCGAUCCUCACGCUCUCCC